GCAGCUCUUCAGGGGCAGGGCAGGGCAGAGCUGCAGCUCUUCAGGGGCAGGGCAGGGCACAGCUGCAGCUCUUCCUGGAGCUGUCAGCCAGCAGGAGGCUUUCAGGGGUUGCUCUCCUGCCCUUUUCACGCUGCUGGGACAAAGGGUGGCUGGCUCUGGAGCCCUGUGCCAAGGCCAGAGGCUGGGCUGUGUGCUGGGGUGGGCUAAGGGCAGCCCAGCUGCGUGCUAGGAAAGAGAGCUGGGGACCAGCCUGUUCCAGGAGGAGCCUCUGCCAUACCUCGUGUACCAGCCCCUGCCCUGGCAGAUCCAGUGUGUGACACAGAGCCGCCGCACCAGCCGGGACAGCGAGAGGGGUCGCAGCUCUCGACACAACAGCAUCCACUCCCUGUCAGGAGAGAAAGGCAGUGUGACUCCUGAUGCCAGCAGCGAGACCACGUUCUUCAGCGAUCCCUCUGAGAAGGCAGCCCUCACCAUCCAGACCCACUUCAGGAGGUACCAGCAGCAGAAGCAGGAGAAGAAGUAGCCACAUCAACCACCUGUGCCCUGCUCUGUCCCUGCUCUGUGCCCCCGAGAUGCAGCCCUGGUGACUCAGCCUGUCCCCGAUCGGUAGCUUCUGGUGCGUGUGUGGCUGUAGAUGCUCUGCCCUUGCCCUCUGUGCUGCUCACUGACAGCUUCUGCCCACUCAGGCCCUCCCUGGGCAGCACUGCCUCGGGGGCCAGGGCACAGCCACUUUGGGACCUCGGCACCCAGGGGGGAUGCUGGGCCCCAGCAAGUCUGAGAGCCCCCAGCUGUGUCGGUGGGAGGAAGCCUCCACAGCUGCGAGCUGAUGGCUGCCAAAGGCUGAGGUGCUGGGGACUGGUUGCUGCUCUCUGUCCCCUCCAGAGCUGCCCCUGGGCAGCCUGCUCCAAGCUCUUGCUGGUUUGAAGGAGGAGCUGCUGAGCAGACAACAGGAGCAGGCUGGCAAGGGAGGGGGCAGGCGAUGGUACCGGUAACAGCAUCCACUUGGUUUGCCGAGGGUUGGUUGGGCUGCUCAUUAAAGAAAGGAACGAUCUGCA